rnacentral:rRNA from 1 species
AUACGGAGGGUGCAAGCGUUAUCCGGAUUCACUGGGUUUAAAGGGUGCGUAGGUGGCUUUGUAAGUCAGUGGUGAAAGCCCGGAGCUCAACUCCGGAACUGCCAUUGAUACUGCUUAGCUUGAAUCAACUUGAGGUGGAUGGAAUAUUACAUGUAGCGGUGAAAUGCUUAGAUAUGUAAUAGAACACCGAUUGCGAAGGCAGUUCACUAAGGUUGUAUUGACACUGAGGCACGAAAGCGUGGGGAUCAAACAGGAUUAGAUACCCUGGUAGUCCACGCCUUAAACGAUGUAAACUCGACAUUAGCGAUAUACUGUUAGUGUCCAAGCGAAAGCGUUAAGUUUACCACCUGGGAAGUACGUCCGCAAGGAUGAA